AUGAACGCUGGCGGCGUGCUUCACACAUGCAAGUCGCACGAAGCACUUUAUUUGAUUUCCUUCGGGACUGAUUAUUUUGUGACUGAGUGGCGGACGGGUGAGUAACGCGUGGGUAACCUGCCUUGUACAGGGGGAUAACAGUUGGAAACGGCUGCUAAUACCGCAUAAGCGCACAGCAUCGCAUGAUGCAGUGUGAAAAACUCCGGUGGUAUAAGAUGGGCCCGCGUUGGAUUAGCUAGUUGGUGAGGUAACGGCCCACCAAGGCGACGAUCCAUAGCCGACCUGAGAGGGUGACCGGCCACAUUGGGACUGAGACACGGCCCAAACUCCUACGGGAGGCAGCAGUGGGGAAUAUUGCACAAUGGGCGAAAGCCUGAUGCAGCGACGCCGCGUGAGCGAAGAAGUAUUUCGGUAUGUAAAGCUCUAUCAGCAGGGAAGAUAAUGACGGUACCUGACGAAGAAGCACCGGCUAAAUACGUG
rnacentral:rRNA from 1 species